GAACAGCAUACAAAUAUUCUCCUUAAUGACUUGACAUCUGAUUAAUGGAAUUUGUAUUUUGUAGAGAUUGCUGAUAGUUCCUCCAAAGCUAGCUUAUGGAAGUAAAGGGGUCCAGGAGAUUCCUCCAAAUGCCACAAUUGAGUUGGAUGUGGAGCUACUAGCAAUCAAACAAAGCCCAUUUGGAUCUGCUGUAAAGAUUGUUGAAGGAUGAUUAGAGUUAAUGUUCUCUCACUGCUUGUUUAUCCCAGUCACAGCCGCUUUUGACCUUUGUACAUAUUUAUUCAUUGAAGUGAUGAGAGUAAAAGCUCGAUUGCUC